rnacentral:rRNA from 1 species
UACGGAGGGUGCGAGCGUUACUCGGAAUUACUGGGCGUAAAGGGCGCGUAGGCGGCCGUGCAAGUCUGGUGUGAAAGCCCAGGGCUUAACCCUGGAACUGCCUUGGAAACUGCAAGGCUUGAGUCAGGUAGAGGGAGGCGGAAUUCCCGGUGUAGCGGUGAAAUGCGUAGAUAUCGGGAGGAAGGUCGGUGGCGAAGGCGGCCUCCUGGGCCUGCACUGACGCUGAGGCGCGAAAGCGUGGGGAGCAAACAGG